rnacentral:rRNA from 1 species
AAAGGGGAGCAAUCCCUGAGUAAAGUGGCGUACGGGUGAGUAACACGUGGAUGAUCUACCUCUUGGUGGGGAAUACCUCUGGGAAACCGGAGACAAUACCGCAUAAGCUCGGAAGAGGAAACCCGCAAGGGGCCGAGAGAGGAGUCCGCGGCCGAUUAGCUAGUUGGUAGGGUAAAAGCCUACCAAGGCGAAGAUCGGUAGCCGGCCUGAGAGGGCACACGGCCACACUGGCACUGAAACACGGGCCAGACUCCUACGGGAGGCAGCAGUGGGGAAUCUUGCACAAUGGGGGAAACCCUGAUGCAGCGACGCCGCGUGAGCGAUGAAGCCCUUCGGGGUGUAAAGCUCUUUCGACGGGAACGAUAAUGACGGUACCCGGAGAAGAAGCUGCGGCUAACUACGUGCCAGCAGCCGCGGUAAUACGUAGGCAGCAAGCGUUGUUCGGAGUUACUGGGCGUAAAGAGUGCGUAGGUGGUGCCCUAAGUCUGUUGUGAAAUCUCCCGGCUUAACUGGGAGGGUGCGGUGGAAACUGGGGUGCUUGAGUGUGGGAGAGGUAAGCGGAAUUCCUGGUGUAGCGGUGAAAUGCGUAGAUAUCAGGAGGAACACCGGUGGUGUAGACGGCUUACUGGACCACGACUGACACUGAGGCACGAAAGCGUGGGUAGCAAACAGGAUUAGAUACCCUGGUAGUCCACGCCCUAAACGAUGCAUACUUGGUGUGAGCCAUUCAUUUGGUUCGUGCCGGAGCUAACGCGUUAAGUAUGCCGCCUGGGGAGUACGGUCGCAAGGCUGAAACUCAAAGGAAUUGACGGGGGCCCGCACAAGCGGUGGAGCAUGU